rnacentral:rRNA from 1 species
CGAACGGGUGAGUAACGCGUGAGUAACCUGCCCUGGAGUGGGGGACAACAGUUGGAAACGACUGCUAAUACCGCAUAAGCCCACGGAUCCGCAUGGAUCUGCGGGAAAAGGAUUUAUUCACUUCAGGAUGGACUCGCGUCCAAUUAGCUAGUUGGUGAGGUAACGGCCCACCAAGGCGACGAUUGGUAGCCGGACUGAGAGGUUGAACGGCCACAUUGGGACUGAGACACGGCCCAG